rnacentral:rRNA from 1 species
CCCUUAGAUGUCCUGGGCCGCACGCGCGCUACACUGAUGCAUUCAACGAGUAUUUCCUUGGCCGAGAGGCCUGGGCAAUCUUUUAAACCUGCAUCGUGAUAGGGAUAGAUUAUUGCAAUUAUUAAUCUUGAACGAGGAAUUCCUAGUAAACGCAAAUCAUCAAUUUGCAUUGAUUACGUCCCUGCCCUUUGUACACACCGCCCGUCGCUACUACUGAUUGGGUGUUCAAGUGAGAUGCUUAGACCCUUGUUGCAUGGUUCAUUAUUGUGCUCCGAAAGGAAAAAGUUUCAAGCUUGAGUGUCUAGAGGAAGUAAAAGUCGUAACA